GACGAACGCUGGCGGCGUGCUUAACACAUGCAAGUCGAACGGAAAGGCCCUGCUUUUGUGGGGUGCUCGAGUGGCGAACGGGUGAGUAACACGUGAGUAACCUGCCCUUGACUUUGGGAUAACUUCAGGAAACUGGGGCUAAUACCGGAUAGGAGCUCCUGCUGCAUGGUGGUGGUUGGAAAGUUUCGGCGGUUGGGGAUGGACUCGCGGCUUAUCAGCUUGUUGGUGGGGUAGUGGCUUACCAAGGCUUUGACGGGUAGCCGGCCUGAGAGGGUGACCGGCCACAUUGGGACUGAGAUACGGCACAGACUCCUACGGGAGGCAGCAGUGGGGAAUAUUGUACAAUGGGCGGAAGCCUGAUGCAGCAACGCCGCGUGCGGGAUGACGGCCUUCGGGUUGUAAACCGCUUUCGCCUGUGACGAAGCGUGAGUGACGGUAAUGGGUAAAGAAGCACCGGCUAACUACGUG
rnacentral:rRNA from 1 species